UGCAAAAAUGCUGAUAAACUCGAUUAAUUUGAGCUGUCCUAACUUAGAAAAACUAAGUAAGCUGGAAGUUUUGCUUCUCAGGGCGGAAGGAUGAAAGAUGUGUUUUGAAAAUGCCACGUGACUACCGUCCUCCUCCCUCCCGGAUCAGUCCGCAUGUUCAUGGCGCCAGCAUUUGUUAUGGAAUAUAUUGAGCAAACCUGGAGAUAUUAUUGUUGUCAUUGCUGUGGAUCUUUACUGACUUGGCUCGGGACCAGCACUCCUGUUGUUGGACAGGAAGACAUCAACUCAGUGACUUGAGAUAUGACUGCACUGUGCUGUUGCUGUGACUCCAGUUAAUUCUACAAGACAUGCUGUGACACCAGGAGAGAUGAGUCCUCCAUCACAGAUGGUGUGGUCAGUGAAGGUGGUCACCUGCAGGUUCAAGCUCAUUGCAUCUCCAACCCACAUCCACUGCAACUGUACUUAAGGGAAGUUAAAGACUUUCUUCUGCACCUACAUUUGGAUCACCUCGAUCCAUGACAGUCAUUCAGGCAGUAAUGCCUGGACUGGAAACAAGCCAUCCUUAAAAUAUUACAACAUUCCAGCUCCUGUGUUGGAAUGAAAAACAAAUGUGUUGUUUAAAUUAGAGACUGCACUUGUGACAGAACA